rnacentral:rRNA from 1 species
GGANUUGCCANUGGGGGAACCCUGAUGCAGCGACGCCGCGUGGGUGAUGAAGCUCUUCGGAGUGUAAAGCCCUUUCGGCAGGGAAGAGAUAAGACGGUACCUGCAAAAGAAGCCCCGGCUAACUACGUGCCAGCAGCCGCGGUAAUACCCGCGGCCCGAGUGGUGCUCAUUAUUAUUGAGCCUAAAGCGUCCGUAGCUGGCCAGGCGAAUCCCCGGGGAAAUCGGGCGGCCCAACCGUCCGAAGUCCGGGGACACUGCUUGGCUUGAGAUCGGGAGAGGGAGGAGGUACUCUCGGGGUAGGGGUAAAAUCCUGUAAUCCGGGGGGGACCACCAGUGGCGAAGGCGUCCUCCUAGAACGAAUCUGACAGUGAGGGACGAGGCCCUAGGGCGCAAACGGGAUUAGAUACCCCGGUAGUCUAGGGUGUAAACGCUGCAGACUUGGUGUUGGGGGUCCUGUGUGGGCUCCCAGUGCCGGAGCGAAGGUGGUAAGUCUGCCGCUUGGGGAGUACGGUCGCAAGACUGAAACUCAAAAGAAUUGACGGA